rnacentral:rRNA from 1 species
GACUACAUGAAGCUGGAAUCGCUAGUAAUCGCAAAUCAGAAAUGUUGCGGUGAAUACGUUCCCGGGCCUUGUACACACCGCCCGUCACACCAUGGGAGUUGGAAGCGCCCGAAGUCGAUGACCCAACCGUAAGGAGGGAGUCGCCGAAGGUGAAGCCAGUGACUGGGGUGAAGUCGUAACAAGGUAAC